CCCACCUGAUCCCAUGCCGAACUCAGUAGUGAAACGUAAUAGCGCCGAUGGUAGUGUGGGGCCUCCCCAUGUGAGAGUAGGACAUCGCCAGGC
rnacentral:rRNA from 2 species